ACUUGGGUCAGGGCAAUCCCAGACAGGAGUACAGACUGGAAGAAGAACUCAUUGAGAGCAGCUCUGCAGAGAAGGACUUAUCCAGGACUACACCAAGAUUAUUAUAUUUGUGUGGCAAGUAGUGGCCAGAAUUUCAGUCAAUGACAGUGUCUGGUAGGGUGGCUGGUGCCAACAGGCUGUUUCGGAGAGCAAAGGACUUCUGGGCUUGUUCAUUGUCUAAGCAGCAGCUGCACAAGGAGUGGCUGUGUUGUGGUGUGUGGUUGGCCUGGUCAUGUGAAAAGGAGCUGGAAGAUGAUGGCUGUCCUAACAGCUGCAACUAACUUAUUUCCUCCCUCAGCUGUGGUCUGAUAUUCUUCAGUAGCUCCCAUGCCAGCCCUGCAUGUGAUAUAGCACAUGAACAUGAUGCAUAUGAUGAAUAGUGAAGAUACAAGUACAAGCUGCAUGUAGUUCAAGAGCUAUAAGCUAUUCAUCCUCAUUUUAGAGAACUGAGAAGAGCAUUGAAAACUGUGUCAGACGGAUUUUUCCUAUGCUUUCCAUAUAGGACAUUGAUGCCUAACCUUUCCCAGUUGAGCGAGCCAUAUGGACAUAUAUUGGCAGGUGGGGACAAGAGGCUCUGCCCCCAUUCAGCUCAUGAAAGUGACUCACCACAUUGGAAUAGAGGACACUUGUAUCCUCACAUGCCUUAACAGUAUGAGCUGGUCAGGGGAAGCAGUCAGCUCUGCCCUUCAUACUGUGAUUGCAUCCACCCUUGUGUGCUGCACAGGUUUUUUGUUCACUGGGUGAUCUUGAACUGGCCUCGCUAAAAGCUUCCCUGCCAUUUCCAAAGGAGAUAAAUCUACCUAAAACCCUGGGAAGCAGAAGUGCUCUUCUGUUUGAAGGAAUGGAAAGUGUUUUUUUCCUGAAUCUCUCAUCACAAAGCAUGUGUUCCUGUUGGUUGCCAUUUCCUAGGUGGUGAAUGACCAGUGGUGGACUGCCAGUUGCCAUGUCAGAGCCACUCCAGCCACCAGCUUCUGAGCCCUGAUAACCUUCAUGUGAUGCUCUGCGGAGGAGGAUCGCACUGCUGAUGUGAUGAUGUAGGUACAGCUUUUCUGAGCAUCCUUUAUGGAGGACAGUAAUUCUCUUUCAUGGCUGCUUUUGUGGUGUCAACAUUGUUUUCAGUUGGCAUGGGAACAAAACCAAAACCUUUUAAGUGAUUUUCUGAAAUUACUGGUUUGUGAUGAAAAAUCAUGGGUUUUCAAACUGGGCUGCAUGCUUUCUCUGUCUCUCCCAUAAGAACUGACCAAUAGUCUUGUGUCUUGAAUACCUCCCUGAUUAAAACUUCACCUAAAUGGAUAUGUUUUCUACAAAAUGCUUUGGCUCUGACAGAGCAGCAUAUUUUGAUGAGAUUUCAUUUCAUGGAAAUGAUCUGACCAGCUCCAGAUGUAUACUUUAGAUAUGCAUAGAUAGUUUCGAUUGCCUAGAAAGAACCACCUAGUAGGCAGAGAGGAUUUGCCAAAAGCAAUUAUAUUUUAUCUCAGUUCAGUUUCAAACCAUUCGUGAGGAUCCAAGAUCACGCUUUGGUAAAACAAACAGUUGUGGUCCAAACAGUGGCAAGAAGCUAAACUGUAAAAGACAAAUACAUCUAUAAGUUGUUUGUGUUGCAGUGAAAAUUAAUAUUAUGCUGCUAGAGAAUUCUGUCCACAUCUGUAACAAAUAAAAAAGAGAGAGAAUUAUAGGAUAUUAUAUUCUGAGGAGCAAUGAGACCAGUGAGGCAGAACUUGAUCCACAAUUGCCAAGUUACAACGUGAUAAUAUGCUAUCAAUUCUGUGCGAUAGCGAUCCAGGACAGUGCUUCAUAACCUGAGCAAUUACUUCAAACGAUUCAGCAGAGCUCUAAGAUCUACUGUAUCGAAAGCAGCAGAAAGAUCCAUCAGCAGGAGUACUGUAAUUUAACUUGAAUCAGCAGCUGGUGAUAAAUCAUUUGUGACCUUAAGUAAAACAAUCCCAGGACUGUGGUACUCCCUGAAGCCAGACUGAAACCUCUCAUAUAAUCCAUUCCCAGACAAAAUUGCUAGUAGUAAAAGGGCAACCACUUGCUGCAGUCUUGCCCUUCCUCACAUCCCCAAAAAGAGAGCUAGGCCAGUUAUCACCAGGUAGAACAGAAACCCGUAAGGUAAGAUAGGGAAAGCUCUCACCAUUUCUCCUAACAAAGAACAUCUGCAAAUUUCAGCAGAUCAAGAGACUUGCAGAAAGCAAAGAGUCAUUAACCAUGUUAGCUAUAAAUGAAGCAAAGCACUGAAAGACUGUCCAUGAGCAGCCAUAUGGGCCAAGAGUCAAAACUAGGAGUAAUGGAGCAUGAUUGCUUUCCCAACUGUGUGAUCUCAGCAAGAAGCAAAUACAAAUGUAUAACACUUGCAGAUACAGGCUCUGGUAGCAUAAUUACCAGCCAUAGCGCUGAACAGUCGCAGCUGAUUAGAAAUUCACUCUGUACUUGCUGAAUUCCUCACAGGAGGCAGCUGAAAGAUUGUGCACAAGGAGUGAUUUGUGGUUCAAAAUGUGAUCAAUAGCACAAAAUAAGGCUUCAGGACUGUUUUUCCUCAUUAAUAACAGGACAAGAAAAAGUAGACCUGGCUGGAUCAAAAGCAAUGUGCUAAGACUUUACACCAGCUCGGUGCUUCAGGAGACUAAUUUCUGGACUAAACAGUCUUUGAAAUGAUUUCACAUCAGGAGCUGUUGUCCCCACCUCAGUCAAGUCCUGUGAUUACCAAGGUAGACAAAGACAAGCACAGAAAACUGAGGACAAAUCAGGAGCUUCACAGACUGAUGUGAUUUUUAAAUGGAAGGAAACAAGAAGAGAGAAAAAAAAAAAUCACAAUUUGUACAAGAUGGUGAGAUGGAUAAAUUUUAUGAGAGUAAUAAAAUAAAAUUUUGUUCUCAUUUAUUCUAAUUGUCUAAGAAGAUCUAGGAGAGGCAAACAUGAGGGAUGCAAGACAGAUUAUAAACUUUUCAUUCCUAUCACACGAGUUGUCAUGUUACAGACAACACAGGACUAACUUGAUUCUGCCUCUAGUGCAGGUCAUCUUCUACAAGUCUCAUUAUACGACACUUUUUUAGGUUGGGAACCUGAAUAGUUUCAGUAGCUCACUGUCACACUUAAACUAGUGUUGAAGCAAAAGCCUGCUCAUGCUAAAUAUAGUGGAAAAACAGCAAAGAAACAGAAAAUAAAAUGUGACCACUCCCAAAGAAUCACUGAUUUUAUACUGACUGCUUCUAGACUAUAACUUUUAAUGAUCUGGGUCCAGGACUCCAUUAGUGUUUAAUAAAUAAUGAUGAUGAUACCCUACCUGCACAAUGCACGCAAAGCUUCCAUUGAUGUCGAUAUGAGUUCUCGGUGCAGACUGAUGGCAGGAUACUCCUGUGACAGAGAUGAAUUUUCCAUUAGAACAAAAUGAGGAAGACCUGUCUCAGUCAGCAGAAUUCACAGCAACAAUAAGCAUUCCUCAGGGGCUCAGUGAAAGAUGUCCAUCCUGGGAGGAUGAAAGCAAAUUGGGUAGGAAGCAGUGAGGCAUACUGGACAGCUGCAAAACCAAUUUGGGCUGAUGUGAAAUUUCCCCAACAUUAACCCCCCACUCCACCCCCAAAAAACAAAAACAUAACAAAAACACACACACAAAAAAACAGGCCACCAUGCAAUUAUAUUGAUAUUUUAUUUGUGUCAUCUGGAAACCAUGACUUUCUUUUUCAUCACACCAUAGGCAAAAUUGCUAUUCCUUUUCAUAUGAAGGCAAAGGAUGAAUUUAAUACUGGGGGAAGUGAGAAAAUGUGGAUGUGUUGCACUAUGUCUUGAUAACCAGCUUUUAUUCAGAGUAGAUAAAGGAAAAAUGAAAUGCCAUUAUGGUAAACAAUGGAAAGCCAUUACCCAUACAGAAAUUUGGACAAUGACCCAAAACAUUCAGUUGAAUGUUUUUCUUCAAGGAUUUUGUUAAAAAUACAGAGACAAGGAGCUGAUGCGAAGCCAGCUUUGCAUGUGACAGAGAAGUGGCUAAGCACAACAGGGGCACAGAGAGAAACCACUUAGUCUGUUUCAUAAAAAAAAAAAAAAAAAAAAAAAGGAAAGGAAAGCUUUUGGCAAGGGGUUGACUGAAAAGACCUGAAUCUGUAAGCCAAGAAAAAGUCUCCUGGCUAUUUAGCAUUGGUUUUCUUGUGGAAAAGGGAUGUAUUCUCUCUAAAUAAUGAACAA